rnacentral:lncRNA from 1 species
CUUUUUAGGGCUGCACCCAUGGCAUAUGGAGUUUCCCAGGCUAGGGGUUGAAUCAGAGCUACAGCUGCCGGCCUCCACCACAGCCAUAGCCACAGCAGAUCUGGGCCAUGUCUGCGGCCUACACCACAGCUCAAGGCAACGCUGGAUCCUUAACCCACUGAGCGAGGCCAGGGAUCGAACCCAAAACCUCGUGGUUCCUAGUCAGAUUCGUUUCCACUGUGCCACGACAGAAACGCUUUUUCUUUUACUCUUAGCUGGUUCUUUUACUCCAAGUCUGAGGGCUACCCUCUAGAAGCUGGAAACUGGACCUGCAGCAGCCGGCUCUGAGGUCACCUUCCUCUUGCCAUCUUAAGCAGCAUCCCUUGGCCAAGUUCAUGUUCUGUCCCUCUACCUGCAGUGUCACACCUUGGAGCUGCCCCGCUGGAGUUAAAAACAUCACUCUUAGAGAAGGGUCUUCUGUUCCUAAAUAGGCCAGGUCACCCCUGCCUCAGGACCUUUGUACAUGCUGCACUUUCUUCCUGGAAUAUUCUUUCCCUGUAUCUUUGCAUGGCUAUCUGCUUAUUCUGGUCUAGGUCAAGUGUCACCUCUCAGAGAGGCCUUAAGUAGUCCCUGCCCUGAUCCCUCUAGUGGGAUCCACAUUCAUCUAGAUCAUUUUCUUCCCAGAACUCUUUGUUGUCUGUCUCCCAGAGGCCCUGGUCUAUUUUGGUCAUUGCUGUAUCCCCAGCACCUACAUCACUGCCUCGCACAUGGUAGGUGCACAAUAAUUAUUUAUUGAAUGAAUGAAUGACUGAGCUCUUUAACUCUUCAUGGCUACACUGUAAAGCAGGGACAGGAGGGGAAGCAACAGCUCAAGGUCACAAAGCCAGGAAGGGGCAGGAAGGAAGGCGGGGACCAGGUGCCCUGCUUCCAAGCUUCCUGUGGUCCCCAGAUGGGAACAGGGGAGACCUGUGGACCUCUAGGCCCCUUCAGCCACCCAGAAGGGGUCAAGUGUGGAGUGAGGCUCAGGGAACGGCUUCUGAAUGUGGUAAGAGUGAGCCAGCCAGGCAGCCAGGAGGCGGGACUGUUUAUAGGAGCUGGAGACCAUCACCAUGACAACUGGACAGCCUACAGCUUCCAGCUGUCACCAGGGAUGCAGAUUUGCAUUUGGCUAGGAUGCAAUGAGGACAAUGGGGACAGGAAGUGACAGAGGGGUGGGGACCCCAAACACCAGUCUGGGAGGAGAUUUCUGUUCUGAGAGUUGCCAAAAAACAGAAGGACCUGGUGAUAUCACAUAAGUGUGUGUGUGUGUGUGUGUGUGUGGAGGAGGAGAGUCUGGGCUAUGUGGAGCCAGGAUGCUGGGUUUGAAUCCCUGCUCUGCCACUUCUGCAUUGUGACAUCUUAUGCAAGUGAUUUAAGUCAGUGCCUUGGUCCCCUCCAAGGUAAACUGGGGAGAGACACAGUCCCUUUUAGGGCUGCUGUGAUGGUUAAGGGAGAUAAUAUUCUUACCUCGCUUAGGAUGUACCUUGCUUGUUUACUAGGUUCUAGAAAUCAACUUACAUCUGACCUUUCGGUUGCCUUCUUUCUGAGUAGUGGGAAAUUUGGUCUCAGUGAUUCUCAGGGGUCCCCACUUCCCUGACUUUUUUUUUUGUCUUUUUAGGGCUGCACUCAUGGCAUAUGGAACUUCCUAGGGUAGGAGUCAAAUCAGAGCUGCAGCUGCCAGCCUACACCACAGCCACAGCAACACCAGAUCUGAGCCACGUCUUCACCCUACACCACAGCUCAUGGCAACGCUGGAUCCUUAACACACUGAGUGAGGCCAGGGAUUGAACCCGCAUCCUCAUGGUUACUAGUUGUGUUCCUUACCACUGAACCACGAUGGGAACUCCUCUCUGGCUUUUUCAUUCACUUAACAAAUAUUUAUUGAGCACCCAAUCUGUGCAAGUCAAUGUCCCAGGGGCUGGGAACACAACAGUGAAAAAAGCAGACAAAAAUCUCUGCCUCGCCUGUGUAGCUGGAAUUUUAGCAGGGUAGACAUUAAAUAUGAUAAAAAGUUCACACAACAGGCCAGUAGUUGAAGCUCGAAUUCAAACCCAAGUCUCUCUGCCUCCUGAGCUUUUCUUCCAUUCCACAUUGUUGGGACUCUGGACAAGAGGGUCCUUGGAGAUAAUAGACAAAAGACCUGAGUCGCAUUGUGGCCACUAUUUUGCUGCGUGACCUUGGUCAAGUCCUUUUUCCAACAUGACCUUCAGUUUCUCCAUCUGUAAAAUGGGGAACAUAGUAGUGCCUACACCAUCUGGUUGUCAUGAAGCUUAAAUGAAAAAACCCAGGUAAGUAAAGUGCUUAGGACAGGGCUGGGCAGGUAGCAGUGAACGUGAGUUUUAUGAUCACGGCUGAUUUUUGGAGGAGAGGAAGGGGGUCUGUGGCUUCUUCCUUGCCUGCAGCCACCGUGCUCCGGGCCUCCCCACUGAUCACAGCUUCCCAGCAGCCCUCAGGCGGCACCUUCAUCCAUCUCCUGAUAGAUGCGCAGACCUGGCUCGCUUACCCGGGAAGCAGGCACUUAAGGAGCUGCUUCCCCGGUUUCUCUUUUAAUUUUCAUUAUAUAAAUUUCACAUUUCCUGGAAUAGAGAUCUUGAACGGCUGGACUCAUUUGGAAAUCGAGUCAGCAAAGGCCUCAUUUAUAUUAAUGGGGCCGCUGGUCUGGGUCUCAGGCGGGCAGAGACAAGGAUGGAUGGUAGCAAUUCCCAGCGGAGCUGCUCCAGGCUGAGCUCUCGGACACCGGCUUGGAGGAGCGAAUGCCUCUGGGUUUAGCUGAGAUGAUUCCCGGUUUGGGAGAGGCUCCUGGAUGCAAGGACUGUGCUGUUCCCUGACUUAAACCCCUCUGUGGCUGCCCACUGCUCUCUGAGUAAUCCUGCUUGACCAAGUCCUAUAAGUUGGGUCCCUGCUGAUGCCUGCCACCUCCUAUCUCCUACCCUUCCCCUCACUCAUCCCUCUGCAGCCACGCUGGCCUCCUAAGCGUGUUCCUACCUCAGUGCCUUUGCACUUGCUAUGCCUUCUGCCAGAAGAGCUCUCCCAGCUCUUCUGGUGACUUGCUCUGCCUGUCGGCCAGAUCUUAUCUCACAGUCACCACCUCUGGGGGGGUCUUCCCUGACUGCCUGUCUGGAGUGAUACUCCCCAGUCAGCCUAUAUCACCACCUGUUCAUUUUCUGCAUAGCGCUGAGCAGUACAUGUAUCUUCUUGUUUACUAGUGUGUUUUUUCCACAAUUAAAAAAAAAAUUGGAGCAAAAAAGAACCUGCAGCUUCUGUCUUUCUCCGGGAUCACUCACUUUGGGGGAAGCCCUCAGCCAUGUCGUGAGGACACUCAAAAAAUGCUGUGGAGAGAUUCAUGUGGGGAAAAAAACCAAUGCCUCCUGCCAAUAGCCCCACACACCUACCUGCCAGCUGCAUGGGGGAGCCAUCUAGGAAGAGGGUCCCCCAGCCCCAGUUUGGCCUUCGGAGGACUAUGGCCCUGGCCAAUAUUUUGACUGCAGCCUCAUGGGAGAGUCUGUUCUAGAACCAGGCAGCUAAAUGACUCCCAAAUCCCUAAGCCGCAGAAACUGGGUGAGAUAAUAAAUGCUGUUCUAAGC